AUGGUGAGAAACGAAAAGGUUUACCAGCAUGUUUCUGAGAGGAUGGAUGCGGAGGGGUUCCAGCGGACAUCCAAGCAGUGCAACAUUAAACGCAAGAAGCUGCGGAGUGACUACCGGAAGGUGAAAAACCAAAAGCCAAAAGGUAUAAACCAAAAGAAUUGGAAGUGGUUCGAUAUGAUGGAUGCCGUUUAUGGACACAGACCGGCGAGUUUGGGAAGAGGAGGCGGCAUCGAUAUGGCCAUCUCUCUGCUGGAGUCAGUGAUGGAGUCUGCCGUUGAGGAUCCUAGCUCUCAGAAGGAAACCACAGAGAGUCUUGACAAGAGGUUGUCCACCUGUGAGAGCUCGAGCUUGAGUUCGCCUGCCCGGACAUUGACACCGACACCACCAGAAUCAGUUCCAUCACCUCCGAAUGUACCCCGGUGUAAACACAUCAGCCCAGGUAGAGAUGCAGGCAGCUGAUGAGAGGCAGCAGGAGUGGUUGGAGAGGAUGAAAGACCAUCGUGACCUGCUCUUUGAGAUGAUGCUGUAGGAUGCCCUUGAGGCAAGGCAGCAUGAGGCUGAAGUCACUUGGCAACACAUGGAGCAGUCUGCAAGGUUCAAUCAGGCCUUCCUCUGCACACUCAGUCAGCUGGUGCAGGUGUUGAGUAGUCGCCAUGACCCUGUGCCACCAUCCAGCAACUAGUGCUUUGCACACAGCUUAACAAAAAAGACUUAACACUUAUUUGACACUUUUUUGUUUGUACAAAACUGUUUUUCUGUUGUUGCACAGCACAUUGUAUUUUAAGCAUUUGUUUGACUGUUUUUAAAUUAAAGUAAUUUUUCCAUUACCUCAUGUGUCAUGUCAUGUGUUCAAUGACUGUCUCACAGGCUUCCUCCCGU
rnacentral:lncRNA from 1 species